rnacentral:rRNA from 1 species
AUGGCGCCUCUUGCAGCAACCAGAAUCACUGAGUGCACAACUACUAAGACGUAUCUAUUAGCCAAACCCUUCUAUUUUGCAUGCAAGCCUAGGCAAUCAUCCAAGCCAAAUACGGAGAUCCAUAGUGGAGGGACGAAGAGAUGUGGUGAAGCAAGGUUGAUCAAAAAGAUUGGUAAUGUUACAAGCUCAUACAUACGGGAUGAUAAUUGGCUACCCUGUGAAGAGAUGUUGAUACCAUAUGGUUGUCUAGUCCCAAGUCCCCCGAUUCUUGUAUUGGCGCUCAUCGAUAACAUGUCAGCAGCAUGGAAUAGGGAACUUGUGGAGCAUCUGUUCAUCCCAAUGGAUGUCCCGAUUAUUCUGGGCAUACCUUCUUUGUACUAG